GAUGAACGCUGGCGGCGUGCCUAAUACAUGCAAGUCGAGCGACCGGACGAUAAGCUUGCUUCUCUGAUGUUAGCGGCGGACGGGUGAGUAACACGUGGAUCACCUACCUAUUAUACUUGGAUAACUUCGGGAAACCGGAGCUACUACCGGCUAAUAUUUUGAACCGCAUGGUUCAAAAGUUAAAGACGGUCUUGCUGUCACUUAUAGAUGGAUCCGCGCUGCAUUAGCUAGUUGGUAAGGUAACGGCUUACCAAGGCAACGAUGCAUAUCCGACCUGAGAGGGUGAUCGGCCACACUGGAACUGAGACACGGUCCAGACUCCUACGGGAGGCAGCAGUAGGGAAUCUUCCGCAAUGGGCGAAAGCCUGACGGAGCAACGCCGCGUGAGUGAUGAAGGUCUUCGGAUCGUAAAACUCUGUUAUUAGGGAAGAACAGAUGUGUAAGUAACUGUGCACAUCUUGACGGUACCUAAUCAGAAAGCAACGGCUAACUACGUG
rnacentral:rRNA from 1 species